AUUGAACGCUGGCGGCAGGCCUAACACAUGCAAGUCGGACGGUAGCACAGAGAGCUUGCUCUCGGGUGACGAGUGGCGGACGGGUGAGUAAUGUCUGGGGAUCUGCCCGAUAGAGGGGGAUAACCACUGGAAACGGUGGCUAAUACCGCAUAACGUCGCAAGACCAAAGAGGGGGACCUUCGGGCCUCUCACUAUCGGAUGAACCCAGAUGGGAUUAGCUAGUAGGCGGGGUAACGGCCCACCUAGGCGACGAUCCCUAGCGGGUCUGAGAGGAUGAGCAGCCAACCUGGAACGGGGAAACGGUCCAUGCUCCUAAGGGAGGCAGCAGGGGGGAAUAUUGCAAAAGGGGCGCAAGCCGGAUGCAGCCCUGCCGCGUGUAUGAAGAAGGCCUUCGGGUUGUAAAGUACUUUCAGCGGGGAGGAAGGCGAUGUGGUUAAUAACCGCAUUGAUUGACGUUACCCGCAGAAGAAGCACCGGCUAACUCCGUGCCAGCCGCCGCAGUAA
rnacentral:rRNA from 1 species